rnacentral:rRNA from 1 species
CUCAUUCGGAUUGGAGUCUGNAACCCGACUCCAUGAAGCUGGAUUCGCUAGUAAUCGCGGAUCAGCAUGCCGCGGUGAAUACGUUCCCGGGCCUUGUACACACCGCCCGUCACACCAUGGGAGCCGGUAAUACCCGAAGUCAGUAGUCCAACCUCGUGAGGACGCUGCCGAAGGUAGGAUUGGCGACCUGGGGUGAAGUCGUAACAAGGUAGC